AAAACCUAUCGUCUAUAUUUAGUAUGAACGAUAAUAAACCACAUUUCAUUUUCAAAGCCUUUAUCAUCCUUACAAAGGCUAUGUGAUGCAACAAUCUGCCCCUCGUCUUGUACAGUAUCCAGUAUUAGAAGCUUGUCUCUGUGUGUAGUCCGUGGCGAUGAAGGGUGUGAACGCGGCGCUUCUUGAGUUACACGGACAACAGUGUUUGAGUCCCUCUCCCGAGGGCAAAGCACUGGGGACACAAGUUGAUGGGGAUACGAGCCAAAGGCUUUAACUUAAUUUGCCGCCAAGGCAUCGGAGAAGCAGAGCACAGUAUGGAACUGUACAGUGUUGGCCACAGGCGCAGGGACGGAUGGAUGAAUGUAUGGCCAGAACUGUGACCUGUGAUCAUUACAUAGUGUAUGAUGAAACUAAGAACAGCUACGAGUCUGAAGUUUUAUUUGUGCAAGAUGGCUGGAGAGCUCUUCUUAUCUAUGUAGACAGGCUGCAGAUGGAGGAGCGGCCAUCACAUCUACAUCCAGUCAGAAUACCACGUGCAGUGCACCAAGAAGCACAAGUAAGCCAGUAACACGUCAAGGUCGGCAGAAAGUUAAUCCAUACACCAGAGACCAAUCAAACCUCAGCUACAUGUUUAAGGGAUAAGGAGGACGGUAACAAGCAUGUGAUGGCUACGGAAAUAUUUAAAGGGGCGGCAUUUGAGGAGCAAAUCUUCUCAGAUAUCCUUUCACAUCGGAGCAAUAUGAUUUUGCCCGCCACACACGCCAUUUCUGUCCCUCAAAGAAUCCAGGGAAAGAAUCAGAUGAACCUCUGGAGGCAUGUGUGGAGGAUAAACGGAGCAAAACGGGGAAAGGGAGGAGGACCGGGGGCAGAGGAGCAAGAAAGAGAAGGGCUAAAUGUGGAAAAAAGGUUAAGUGGUUGAGUCGUCUGGUGAACCUGGGGGCUCGGACUAUAGGGGGAAG